GAGAGAUAUGAGAGCUUGCUCUUGUAGAUCUUAGUGGCGAACGGGUGAGUAACGCGUAAACAACCUGCCCAACGGAUGGGGACAACAGACGGAAACGACUGCUAAUACCCAAUAGACUCCGGUUUCGCAUGAAACCGACAGGAAAGGUGGCCUCUCGAAGAAGCUACCGCCGCAGGAGGGGUUUGCGUUUGAUUAGUUAGUUGGUGGGGUAACGGCCUACCAAGACGAUGAUCAAUAGCCGGUCUGAGAGGAUGAACGGCCACACUGGAACUGAGACACGGUCCAGACUCCUACGGGAGGCAGCAGUGGGGAAUCUUCCGCAAUGGACGAAAGUCUGACGGAGCAACGCCGCGUGAGUGAAGACGGCCUUCGGGUUGUAAAGCUCUGUUAUUCGGGAAGAACGAUUCGUUUGUGAACAAUGAACGGAAGUGACGAUACCGAAAGAGAAAGCCACGGCUAACUACGUGCCAGCAGCCGCGGUAAUACGUAGGUGGCAAGCGUUGUCCGGAAUUAUUGGGCGUAAAGAGCGCGUAGGCGGUAUGGUAAGUCUGUCUUAGAAGUGCGGGGCUUAACCCCGUGAGGGGACAGAGACUGUCAUACUGGAGUCUCGGAGAGGAAAGCGGAAUUCCUAGUGUAGCGGUGAAAUGCGUAGAGAUUAGGAAGAACACCGGUGGCGAAGGCGGCUUUCUGGACGAGCACUGACGCUGAGGCGCGAAAGCGUGGGGAGCGAACAGGAUUAG
rnacentral:rRNA from 1 species